CGCGCUUAACACAUGCAAGUCGAGCGAGAACCAGACCUUCGGGUCUGGGGACAGCGGCGAACGGGUGAGUAACACGUGGGUAAUCAACCCUCGGUACUGGGAUAGCCCGGGGAAACUUGAGCUAAUACCGGAUGUGCCCUUCGGGGGAAAGAUUCAUCGCCAUUGGAGCGGCCCGCGUCUGAUUAGCUAGUUGGUGAGGUAAAGGCUCACCAAGGCGACGAUCAGUAGCUGGUCUGAGAGGAUGAUCAGCCACAUUGGGACUGAGACACGGCCCAAACUCCUACGGGAGGCAGCAGUGGGGAAUCUUGCGCAAUGGGCGAAAGCCUGACGCAGCCAUGCCGCGUGAAUGAUGAAGGUCUUAGGAUUGUAAAAUUCUUUCACCGGGGACGAUAAUGACGGUACCCGGAGAAGAAGCCCCGGCUAACUUCGUGCCAGCAGCCGCCGUAA
rnacentral:rRNA from 1 species